UGGACAGGGCCAGUCAUCAUAAAAAGUUGCUUCUUGACACAUUACCAACCCAGGGGCCUGUUUCAACACAGGGACAUAAGUCUUCUCAGCGUGAGAACAGGAUAGUCUCAGAAUAUUCCAGGAGGCCUCGGGUUGUGUCUUCUGAAAAGGGACGAGGCUUCCUUUCCUGAGUCAUAGGGCAGACUGUCUCUGAAUUGGCAGAUCAAUACAACAAAGUUCUCUUCCCUGAACCUGGGCAAAGAGUUCAACAUAUUCUUCCCGGGGUCAUGAGGAGCUCAUCUAGUUGCUUUCUGGAAAGGCUGUGGCAAGAUUCAGCUCUUACUCCAUCAGUCUUCUCAGCGUGAGAACAGGAUAGUCUCAGAAUAUUCCAGGAGGCCUCGGGUUGUGUCUUCUGAAAAGGGACGAGGCUUCCUUUCCUGAGUCAUAGGGCAGACUGUCUCUGAAUUGGCAGAUCAAUACAACAAAGUUCUCUUCCCUGAACCUGGGCAAAGAGUUCAACAUAUUCUUCCCGAGGUCAUGAGGAGCUCAUCUAGUGCUUUCUGGAAAGGCUGUGGCAAGAUUCAGCUCUUACUCCAUCAG
rnacentral:lncRNA from 1 species